UGUUUUCUGGCUGUCCGUUCACUGGAACUCGGGUUAUCCCUGGGAGAUCAACCAUUGUCAGAUCAGGAACACCAUCCUUCUUGACAUGCAGCGUCAGCGUAGUGUCUGAAACCCCUUUUCCAGAUCCUGCAACAUCAAUAUUCACAAGGUACUUAUCACAGUCAAGACUUCUAAUUGUUAGUCUUAAGCAUAAACCAGAUAUUCAAAUAGCAAAACUCGUGUACCAGCAUGAGAAAUAACAGAUCACUAAAGUCCCACUAGGAGUUACAGAAUCAUACAAUACAUCUAGUCCCAAAUAUUCAGUUAUUUUUCAGGGACUUUUACAUAACUAGAUAGCUCGUUUUGAAUGUCCGUGUUUCAGAUGAAGUGACAUUUUCAUUUUCAGAAUCGAUUGCUCUUGCAGGUUUUAACAGUAACAUAUUUAACAGUAUGGAGAGAGGCAGAACAUACCAGCUAUAACAUCCGUUGCAGCACAUAUAGCUUCAGCUAUGUGUUUCUCAUCCGUAUGAACAACUUUGUCCCCAAAUUCAA
rnacentral:lncRNA from 1 species